UGAAGAAAUCAGUUCGAAUGCUUAGAGGACAAAGGCUUUCAAUUGUAUGUCCACUUCAUUUCUGCAGUUCAUAUAGUGCUGUCAAACAUGAGACAACCUAAAUUGAUCAUCAUAAUCCUUUUGUGUGCCUUUCCACCACCGAAGAGUUCGAGUACGAUAAUUCGGGGAACGACAGUUGCACCUGGCUACCACAGAUUAGAAGGAACUCUGGUAAAUUUCACCGCAUGCUUUCAUGUUGAUGUAGGGUGUCCUGGGCACACCGUCACCUCUCAUAGUGAUGUGGGCGACGAAAUGGAGUGCCAGAGCUUCUGUCAAGCUAACCCACUUUGCGGACUCUUUUGCUACAUUACAGAAAGCUUUCCAAAUCCAAUUAAUCGAAGAAAAUGUUACUUAAAAACGGAUCAAGCAGUACUUGCGCCAGCAUCGGACAUGGGAAGAAUUGCGGGUCCAAAAUGUUGUGAUGGUCAACCUUGUAAUUGAUUUUGGAGUUGGAGGAUUAACCACGUUUGGCCCACCCUCUCGAAUGAUUUGGAGCAAUCGACAAAGCAUCUGGUCACUCUCCUCUUAUUGCUGAUCUUUGAGCGUACAACUUUAAACAGGAGAGGAGUUCCGAAGGCAGUAGAGCGGGUUCUCCGAAAACCAAACUGGAAUUUGGGAAGUAUGAAAGACAAGGCAAGAUUUAUUUCUGUUUAUUUCUUUGACAACAGCGAGGAGAAAGUGCGUUCUAGCAACUAGGAGAGACAUCUGGAUCCAUCAAUUACAUUGGGUCUUUUAACCAACAGCUUCACUUUUACUUCAAAUAAUACUUUUUGUUCACACCACACUUUUUGGGCGAUUGGAAAAUGGGCCUUAAUAUUCCUCGCAAUUUCAAAUGACAAUGGGGGCAAAAUACUAAUGGCCAGGACACAGGCCUAGCAAAAGAGCAUAGCUUGCAAUCGAGAGUCUUAUUUUACUUGUGGCCCACCCAACUUUUGAUGAGCUCCAUGGGGCAAGCGAUUUAAGGUAUCUUAUUAAAGGAGAAAGAUGUUUGUGACUGAAUGUUGGGACCACUCGGUGUGAUUGCUAUUUCAAAGAGAUUAUUUUUUUCACUUUUACACCAAAACCUUUGUUUGUGAUGGUUUGUUUUGGUUUUCUAAAAGAGUAAGAGAGUGUUGUGCCAUUUGACAUGACUUGAAGACCAUUUUUUUGGCUUGAAAAGGGCCAUACAAUGAAUUUCAAUUCAAACUUGCUCCAAAAUUGCGUGCAAAGCAACUGAAAAUUUAUCAAUUAUGCAAAAAAAAAUAUUUGUAUCGUUUGCACAUCCUUAAUAAUGUCCAUUUGCCAUUACAUUAUAAUCAAUGUAGUAAUUUACUUACAGAUUGCAGGAAAAUGACUUGUUGAAUUUUGGUUCCUGUUUUCGGAUUGUUUAUUGAUUCUCUUAAAUUAUUGAAAUCUUGGAAAAUAUUUGGUGCAGUUUUAAUUCCUGAAUUUUCAUUUUUAUUUAUUUUUUUAUUUGUUUUUUCACGGGCUUUUCUAAUCACUACGGGGAAUGUAACCCUCAGUACAGUAUUAAAAUGAAAGGUUCUAAUUCGCAUAUCUAUUACCUGUCAUUCUAUAUAUAAUAUUUGCUCUACCAACGAGUUUGACUUGGCAGACCCAGCUAGUCUGAACAAUCGAUUUGUACAGAGUUAGCAUCGUGAUGCUAUCUCUGGACUUAUACGUGGGAUAUAUCCAACCACACAUUUGGAAAGCUUCACCCACCUUCAAAUGGAUAUGCUCAUCGAACUUUCCAUUAUUUUGGAGGACUGCACCUUGUUCUUUCAUAGAUGAGACCUGCUCGAUAUCUUUCCCUCCAUUGUGUCAUUGUGUAUGAGUGGAGUAUUCAAAGGAGUUGACCAGAAGGUCAUUGAGCCAAAUUUCACUCCGUUCAGGGCCAUAUUACUCUCCGUAACCCAAGAGUAGAUUCUUUCUAGGUCCUUCGCAAGGCUAAUGGAAGCUUGGCCAUUCCUACCAGAAACUACCUUUGUAUCGUCAGCAUAAGAAGAAAGACUGGCAGUAAUACUAAGCUUUUGAAGUGGGGCAACGAAUAUUAUAAAAAGGAGGGGCCCCUAAGAUGGAACCCUGGGGAACACCUGACUUGACAUCAUGUAUGUCACUAAGGGAUCCCUCAACCUUAACCAAUUGCUUCCUAUCAUGAAUGAAGCUUCUUACCCAAUUGAGAACAUUGCCUUGGAUCCCGAUGUCAUAAAGUCUAUUCAACAAAAGGUCAUGAUCUACUUUAUCAUAGGCCUUGGUGAAAUCAAGAUAGACAACAUCAACUGACUCAUAUCUCUCUAUUUUGAUUGACUUAAUUGUGAUGAAAAUGAGCCAAUGACUUUGCAAAAAUGAGAUACUCGUAUUAUCGUUGCUUCUAAAUUGGCAUCUUGAUGUUGCCUGGGGAAGAAUAACUUAGGGUUUUCCAAAUCAGCAAUGUCGACGGAUUAACGAAGUUAUUGCCCUAUUAUCAUUGGCAUCGUGAACUGAUUCAGGAUUGGACGAGAUCGGUAUCAAGCCUAAGAAUAUCGCACAUUUCGCCAAAAGAAGAAAUGUGGAGAUGGAUUGGCUAAACGGAAACCUGUGUUGCAACAACAACGUAGAUAGAGAAGGAGUGAAGAAGAAGAAGAACAAGAAGACACCAACAAAAUGUGUUGUUUCCACGUCGAGCAGAAAUCGCAGAAAUUUGGCGGUUCGGUUUUGCGAAAGAGCUCAACCGAGAGAUUGGGAAGAAAAUUGGUUUGUGCCACCCCCUCAGAAUUCGGCUCAACAUAAGAACAACACUUUUUGCGGCAGUCUAGUGAUGACCAAGGUUCAUAAUCAUAAGCAAUUGAUCAGAAAGGCAACAAUAGGUAACUUUAAUAUGUUGCUUUUCGUGUAAAAUAAAUUUGAU